UUCCUUCCCCUUGCUGGAAUAACAUCUCACAUCUGCUGAGGUCCAAGGGAAAACUGCUUCAGAUGUCAAAGGAGGUCCAGCUGGAGCACUCGUGUGUGCCCUGAGCUGAGGUCCUGCCGGGCAGUGCCCCGCUGGGUGACCCCGAGCCCGACAGCGGCUGCUCCGUGCUCCCGAGACAAGGAGGAAGCUCUGCAGACACAACUCCCAGAAAAGCUGUCACGUCCCUGCUUCUGCAGCCUUGGCUUUGAUCACAGAAAUCACCAAGGGAAAGAUGUCCAGUGUAAGACCAUGAACAGUUCUGGUUCAUGUGCAGAGCUGUUAACCAAGUUGAAGGCAUCUGGGUUUUCUCUCUCUCACUGACUCCUGGAGUGCUUUUAAGGCAAACUUCAAAUUUUUAAGAUUUCACACGUAUUCGUCUGAUGUGGAGCUCCUGGGAGGAAUUCACAGGCCUGUACCAGUAGCUCCUCAGCUCUUUCCACAGAUCAUACCACGACUGAGACGUCCCCUCCCAGGUGUGAAGGACAUCCACAAAGUUGGCAUCAUCGGGGGAGAGGCGCCUGCUGGGGUCCACUCCUUCAAACAUGGGGCCAGCAGGAUCCAAGCCUGGAGUCAGAGACAGAACACAAGGGCCCAGGGCAGCACAACCCAAUAGCAGCACCAUGACAAGAUUGCCUGUUGGAAGCAAAAAGCCUUCACCAGGUGAUGGUGAAGAGAUGAUUCAAGAGGCAGCUCCAAACACCAGAAGAGGUUUAACACCACAGGGACAGCUGGCAGCCAAAGCUGCCUCAGUGACAUUUAGUCUGUUUUCACACUGCAGAUAUGGAGGGACUAACACAAUUUAAGCAGCAGCCAAGAAAUACCUGCAUCUGAGAUCCCAUGAUAGGUUUGGGAUGCUCUGUUAACCCCUGAGCCUCACCCCCAAUCAAAACCUGCACUCCAGAGCAUUUCUACUACUUGACUGUUAGAUGAUUUUUCCCCCUGAUUAAUUAAAUACAGACAUUUAUUGCUAGGCUAUGUGGAAUUCUAACUGCCAGUGUCACAUGUAAAUCCUUAAUGCAACUCCUUGUACUAUGCCCUAAGUUCUCAGAUGUUGAAAUCAGCUUUCCUCUGGAGCUGGAAGCAAACUCUUCAGAUAUUUCCAGAAUGAGGGUUUAGAGUUGAUUUUUUUUUUUUUUUAAUCAGACAUCCUGUGGGACAAACAGCACCCAAUCGCUCUCGCCUCUAUUAGCUUAUGAGCUAUAAUUACAAAAACACUAUCACUCAGAGGAAUAGCAUUUGGAUAGUAAGAGCUUGAGCUAGACUUGUUUUGAACCCACAUUUAAAUUCAAACAAACCCAGGACCAGUUUGUCCUGGGUAAGGUUUUUUCACUGAAGCCUUGCUAUAAUUGAUAUGAGGAGACCUGUGCUUUCCACUGCUGCCAGAAGCAGAAAACUUGUCAUUUCUGGAAGAAUAACACCAAAACAACAUUGUAGCAACACAGGAAACAAGCCCUUUCGGGGAAACUCACUGCCAGGAAGGACAGG